UACGAAGGGGGCUAGCGUUGUUCGGAAUUACUGGGCGUAAAGCGCGCGCAGGCGGCUAUCCAAGUCAGUGGUGAAAGCCCGGAGCUCAACUCCGGAACUGCCAUUGAAACUGUUUAGCUUGAGGAUGAGAGAGGUGAGUGGAAUUCCCAGUGUAGAGGUGAAAUUCGUAGAUAUUCGCAAGAACACCAGUGGCGAAGGCGGCUUACUGGUCCGGUUCUGACGCUGAGGCGCGAAAGCGUGGGGAGCAAACAGG
rnacentral:rRNA from 1 species